rnacentral:rRNA from 1 species
CCUACGGGAGGCAGCAGGAGGGAAUUUUGGGCAAUGGGCGAAAGCCUGACCCAGCAACGCCGCGUGAGGGAUGAAGGCCUUCGGGUCGUAAACCUCUGUCAGGGGGAACGAAGGGUCGGGGGUGAAUACCCCGCCGACUCGGACGCUACCCCUUGAGGAAGCCCCGGCUAACUCCGUGCCAGCAGCCGCGGUAAUACGGAGGGGGCAAGCGUUGCUCGGAAUCACUGGGCGUAAAGCGCGAGCAGGCGGCAUGCCACGUCGGUGGUGAAAGCCCUCCGCUCAACGGAGGAAUAGCCUUCGAUACGGGCAUGCUUGAGUGCGCGAGGGGGAGACGGAAUUCCAGGUGUAGAGGUGAAAUUCGUAGAUAUCUGGAGGAACACCGGUGGCGAAGGCGGCCAUCUGGACCGGAUCUGACGCUGAGGCGCGAAAGCGUGGGGAGCAAACAGGAUUAGAUACCCUGGUAGUCCACGCCGUAAACGAUGUGUGCUAGCCGUUGGGGCACUUAGUGUUUCGGUGGCGCAGCUAACGCGUUAAGCACACCGCCUGGGGAGUACGGCCGCAAGGUUAAAACUCAAAGGAAUUGACGG